rnacentral:lncRNA from 1 species
GUAAAUAGAAACUCAAAUUAAUCAUAGGAGGAAUUUCAUCUGAUCAAUACUAUUCGUUCAUUUUGAGGGAUGAAAUAUACCUUUCAUCAACCCCCUAAAUCAAAUAGUAUUGAUCAAAUGGAAGUUCAAAUCAACCAUGAUCAAGGCCAAAUAGAAUAUGAAACAUAACAAGGUCAAUCAAAUGGCUCAACAAUAUUUUUAAACAUUUAAAUAAUUAAAAA